CCUAAAUAGAAAUUUUUUUUAAAAACCUAGAAGCAAGGAUAUUAGCUAGGAAGUGCUUUCUCUAAUUCAGGAUGAGACCAAGGAGGGCUUCAACUUAAUCAUGGAAGAUCUAAUGGGAAGGGACUGUUUUGAGAAAUAUUUUUGUGAAUAAAAUGAAGCCAAAAGUAGUGGGGACAGUAUCCUUUACGUACUGUGGCAUCCUUAAGAUAUCUGAAUGAGCGAAAGGCAAAGAAAAGGCCCAAAGACAUGAUGUAUGACUAUAAUUAUGAUCCAAACAACAGUGAUAAUAAUUUAUUGAGUUAUUAAGAAAUGGAACUCAAUGUGCUACAAACUUUAUAUACAUGUUCUUAUCUAACCUCCAAUACUCUAGAAGGAAAGUAAUAUUUUUUAUAAUUCAGAAAUGAGUCAAAGAAGUGCAAAAUGGUUAGGUAAAAUUGCCAAGAUUUUCCCAGCCAGGUUUUAAAAUCAUGACUGAUUCCCCCACAGAGCUAAGGAAUUUCUAAUUAUAUAUUCUCUUCUAUAGACCCUUAUCCAUACCACUGGUAUAAACACAAGUUGAGAGCAUAGACCUGUGACAUAUUGUGGCAACCUCUCCCUAUUUCAUCAAAGAUUAUUAAAGAAUGUGGAAAAUUACACCAGAGCGGUGACAUAUGGAGAACGCAUAUGGAGGAAAAUGUUGGGAGAGAGAACCAUUCCUGAUAAAAAGAGAUGUCUGAGAAUACCAACUGAAUUCAAUAUGAGACUUUAGGUGGACGCUUAUUAAAACAAUCAACCAAAAAAACCUAUAUAGACUUUUUUUUUUAAUUAAGCUAAGUGAAUAUAGACACUGUAUUUGAUCCCCUGUGAAAUCUUUAUUAAUAAUUAAUAAUGUUGCAAUCAGUAAAAAUAAAUAAUGAUUAUCAUUGGAUAUGUUUACUGUAUUUUUCUUAAAUUUAUAAAAGUUAUUAUGUGCUAGAAAUAUUUACUAAUAUAUUUAUAGUUAAAAUGAUCAGAUGUCUAGGAGUUGCUUUAUAAAGGAUGCUUCAGGAAAAAAAAGUGAGGUGGGGUGGUGGAGUAAAUGGAACAAGAAUGUAGAAACUGAAUCCCAGAAGAUUUAUUUUACUGUCAUCUCUAUUUUUGUGUAUGUGAAAACUGCAAUUAUAGAACAUUAAUUUAUAAAGACUCUGUGGAUCUGCUACAUGAAUCCAAGUGAUUAUCCUCUACUUACAUCUUCCUGUUUGAGUUCUAAAUACAAUGCAAACAGCAUCAAAAGGAGCCAAAUUUGGAGGAAACCUACUGGUAACUGUAUACCUAGACUUCUGCUCAAUAAUUUAAAGCUUACAUCUUAGAGUUUACUGUGUAGAGUGAUUAUAUAAUUUAUCAGGCAGGCAAUAUAUGUUAGUAUGAAACAGGAGGCCAGCAGCAUAAACAGGGGAAAUCCAGAAAGCAAAGCACAUAAGAGUAUUUUAUUUUUAUUCAUUUUAAGAGCUACUUAAAAAUUAAGCUGAACAGAAGGGAAAGAUUCUCCCAUAAUGCAUAACAAAAUUUAGUCAAUCUUAGUUGUACCUGUAGUUCAGGUCAUUCCAUGCCUGUGUAGUUCAAGGACUCACUUGUGGCUUGUACAUGAUGACUAAUGAGACUAUGAAGCUCACUCAACUGUGAGUCAUGUGCUCCCUGCCAUCCAUCUACUGGCUUAGACUUUUCCUGGUAUUUGGCUAAGGCUUACUUAACCUCCUGUAUAAAUAUAAACAAACACUUCCCAAUGGACAAAACUUCCAUGAGCCACAGAAGCACAAGAAAGUCAAAAUAUCAUGUCACUUCAGGCUUUACAUUGUUUUUGCAAGAUACUUCAAACUGUCAAGGAAAAAGUAAUUGUGCUUGGAUACACCAAAUGCCUUAAACUUUAAGUGAGAUUUUGCAUCCCGAAUUCUACUCAUGCUUAUUUUCCAAGGUUUGUAGAACACGGGACCAUAACCUAAUACUUCAUUUAAUUGAAUUUACCUCAAAUCUACAGAUUCUUCUAUGAUCCCUAUCAGCUGUAAAGAUAGAGACGUUUUCCCCAUGGCAAAAGACUCAUAUGUCUGUGUAUAUAGUCAUAUUUAAAGAGGGAAAAACACAGACUGAUCUAAACAUACCUAUUGUCUGUUCCUAACUCACCCAUCAGAUUUGUCACUCCUCUUAGGGGAAGGAAGUCCAGGCUGGUACACUGAACAAUGCCCUUCCCCAGGAACAUAUAAGGAAGAGGAAUGAACUAUUGACACUAUCAAAAACUGGGGAGAUGUAGGAGUUCUUUCACAUGUUAAGUAACAACUGACUAGUACUUAAGUAGAAACAAUUAAUGGUAAAAUAAUUUUAAUGUCUUUAAUCAUAUUCUCUAAUAAAAAUUUACCUGUCAGAGACUUUGAUUUAUAUACUUCUCUUCUGAUAAAGUGAUCAUCUCAUUAGAAAAGCUCAGAAUUCUCCUGAAAGAGUAAUCCAUUCUUCUUUUUCUUCUUCUUCUUCUUCUUCUUCUUCUUCUUCUUCUUCUUCUUCUUCUUCUUCUUAAUGCUUACAAUAAUUUUAAUUCUCUUGGCUACUCCUUACCUUCUUCCUUAGAAAUAAACUUAACUCACAAGGACAUAAAUAUAGGCUUAACUCUUAAACUAGAACAGCAUAUUAGACAUGCAGUCAUAAAACAUUUUAUGUUAUAUUCAAAACCUAUAAUCAUUAAUAACUUACUCUAGACUGUAUAGAAAAGAUUGUUUAUUGGAAAUGAGAAAUACUAGAGAAUGGAAGACUAAAGUUUUAAUUCAUCAUCCUAACAUUUACUAGCUCUGUGACUGAGGAAUUGACAUAACUUCAAGAGUCUGAAGUGUCACCUUUAAAAGAAAAAAAUUAUUUUAACUACCUCAAACAGACCUUUAUAUAGAUUUAUUGAGAAAAUGUCUAUUAAACUUGUUGUAAAAUAUUGAAGAUUAAAAAUUAAAUUAAAAUUGUUAAACAACAGAGCAUGUUUUCCACUCCUUACUAAACCAUUUUUAUUAAUUAAAAAACCUCGCCAAGAUAUUUCUUCUUUUGGGAAAAAUCUCAUAUAAAAGCAGGAAAGUAUUAGUAGACAAUAAACAUGACUCUACUAGUUAUCUUGGAAGUACAGAAUUUUACAGCCCAAAACAUUGAGUAUAUAUUUAUCAAAACUGUGUGGUAAAUAUAAAUUCUCCUCAUGUUAAAAGAGACUACUAAAUAUAUACUUUCAGGACUCACUGAAGUUUGGCCAAACUAAACUUUCUGGAAAAUGCAAGUUGAGUAGUGAGUGAGUUGUUAAUGAAGUCACUCUAAUGGAGAAUGCAAUGAUAUGUCUUCUUUCUUCUAAGGAGGAGGGGUUCCCCCCCCCUUUUAUUAUUCUCCUUCACAAGUUGAUGGAUUAGGAGUGUUUGCAAGAAGGAGAGACUAACAUUGCAUUCCCAAUAUUUAUGGUUUAUAAGAUGUAGUUGUCCACAUACAAUCAAGAAGAAUGCAAUAGAAGAGUUUUUAGGAGCAUAUGAUGUGUUAUACUGAUUUCUAUUUGGAACUUGAGAAGUUAGGGUGCCAACUCAAAGAACUAAUAGGGGAGAAAGGCCCACAGGAAAGAUUAACAGCCUGCAUUCCCAAUGUUUGGCAUGGAAAAGAUGUAUGAGUUGCCUCCAUAAAAGAAGAUUUCAGAUAAGGAAAAUAUGCUGGAUAAUCUUUAUGAGACUAUAUCCAGGAAAGUGGAGAGAAGAUUUAGAGGAUCUUAGGAGUAAGAAGUGUGGCAUGAACUACCAUGGUAAGCCCUGAGCAAUAGGCACAAUUCCUCCUUUCCUUGACCAGAAUAGUCAGAAGAAGAAAAGGUGAAGAAAGUGAAAAAGGAGAAUACAUUCAUUCAUCUUCCCCAGUGAAAGGCCCCCAAGCCAUGUGUGAGGCCUUGAACUAAAAGGAAAAGAGAAUCUUUGAACUGGAUAUGCAACUGAAGUUUUUAUUUAAACAAGCCUGAACUUUUAAAUAUUAAGAUUGGAUUUUGAGUAUCAAAACUUACUCUUCUUGUAACUGAAACUGUUUAUGAAUCUGUUGCUUCUGCUGAGGGCAUGGAACAUCUCCGACAAGGCAUGCUCGAAUGUAAUGUAGGAUAAAUAAGACUCAAAGUCCUGCCUAUCUAAUAAACUGGCUACUUAUUUUCAUAUGGCAAUAUUUUAUCUUCAAAUUCCAUCCACUUAUUACUUCAGUGAAGUCUUGAGUCAUUAUGACAUUUAUCAAUCUCUCUUUAUAAGAAUUCAACAGUAAGACUGUUUCAUAUGGAUUUAUUAUUAUAUCCCAACUACUCAUUCCAAAUCAUAGACUCCUUUGGUUCUUAUUCUUCUGUCCUUUAUGCUGACAAACAGACCAUUUUUAAUUUUUAUUACCAGCUCAACCAUUCCUUAUAUAAUAAAACAGUACAGAAAGUACUAGUAUCUACCCCACAUUUCUCCCUCCAAUCUUCAUUUUCUCUUUACUUCUUACCAUCUAUUUUUUUAACUUAAAUUAGGAGAAGAGUAUGUUCAGGAGCAGAUCUUAGUCUAUGCCUAUGUUUUUAUUUUCUCUUCUCCCUCACACUUCUCAUAAACAGACCAAUGGCUAGUGUUAGACUCAUGAAAGAGAAAAAAAAGAUAGGGAUUUGUGGGCAAUGAUAAUAAAGUCUAAUUAAAUGGACAGAUGCCAUAAAGACAAAUACACCAUUCUUUUAAAGCAACCAAAUAAAGAAAAUGGUAUUGACCAAUGCUGACAAAUUCAAGAAGGACCAAUUAAGGAAAAAGACAGAUUUUCUCAUAGUGUGCCUUUAACAUCAGUCCAUGUCAGAUAUUAUUUAUGGGUGAAUAGGAAUCCUGAAAAGCCUCACACACAACCUAAUUUGGAGAGAAGAAGAGGGAGAUAUUCUAUUUAUCUUUCCUCUUUUCUUACUGGCAGGAGGAUGGUAUGUAGAAUGGAAAGUAAGAACAGAAAGCUUGGCUGGGGUGAGAUAGGUGGAAAGAAGAAAGCCAAUAGUAGGAGCCGAUUCUUCUUACAAAGGAUGUAGAAUUUUGCUAAAAUGGAGAAACAGUCUGAAUUCAUGAGACUUUCCUCUAUAAAAGCAGGAUACCUAGGGAGGAUACACCACUGGGAGAAAAGGAUUCUUUCUCAGAAAAGAGAGUCCAACAUACUCCAACUAAGACUGCAUUUAGUCAUCAGGCCACAGAGAUGAUAAAUAGAUAAAACAAAAUUCAACCCUACAUUAUAAGGAUCAUAUACCAUGAUCAAUUGUAAUUUAUUCUAGGAAUACAAGGUUGGUUUAAUAUCCUCAAAACACUGAAUGUGAUACUCAACAUUAGCAAAAUGAAGGAUAGCAAUCAUAUGAUCAUCUCAAGAGAUGCAGAAAAAGCAUUUGACAAAACCAAAUAUCAAUUUAUGAUAAAAACUGUCAACAAGGAGGUGGGAAUAUGCAUUAACAUAAUAAAGGCCAUAUAUGGCAAGACAAGUGCUAACAUGAUACUCAAUAAUUAAAAGCAGGAAAUUUUUCCUCUAAUCUCAUGAAAAAGACAAGGAUGUCCAAUCUCAUCAUUUCUGUCCAACAUAGUACUAGAAGUCUUAGCCAGAGGAACUGGAUAAGAACAAGAAAUAAAAGGCAUCCAGUUUGGAAAGUAAGAAGUAAAACUGUCACCAUUUGCAGAUAACAUGAGACUAUAUAUAGAACACCCUGAAGACUACCAAAAAACCGUUAGAACUAAUAAAUGAAUUCAGUAAAGCUGCAGGAUACAAAAUCAAUAUGCAAAUAUAUGUUGCAUCUCUACACAAUAAUAAUGAACUAUCAGAAAUAGA